AAAAAACUUGAAGAUAGAAGUUUAAAAGGAAAUCUUAAUUAAUGGAAAUUUAGAAGAGUAUUGUUGGAAGUUAAGAACAAAGGCUAAUAUUUAUAAGGAGCAUUGAUUUUAAUUUGUUGAUCAUUAUAACUAUAUAUAUUAACUUUUUUUUAAUUAUGUAUAAUAAUGAUCAACUACACUUUUCUAAGUACUUCCAAACUCAGCAAGUCAAGGAUCCCAACCUUGCUACAUGUUGCUAUUCAAAUCUGGACUGAGCAUGUAGCGUAAAAAGACAAAAAGAGAGUGAGAAAGUUUCUGAUCUAGACUUUAGGAUCCCAUACAUCUAGUCAAGAUAGGAAGGUGUUGAAUUUUCACUUCAGAUUGAGGUAAUUGAUGGUGUUCAUAUCGUUGUAUUUUAUAGAAGAAGAAUAUAAUUUGAAAUAUUGUAUAUAUUUAAAAAUUUAAACUUUGAUAGAUUUUGUAGAUCCUAUUGAUGGAUCUUUAAUUUAGGAUAUGUUUUUAAUUGAAAAUUAGUGUGUUGUUAAUGUUGUAACUCAUUUAAAAAAAAAUUAACAAUAAUCAGUGCUGCUUUUUGGCUGUAUAUUGAAUUGAUUCUUAUUUUGGGAGGUGAGAUACAAAAAUUACUAGUUUGCACAUCUCAUAUUUUUGUCGAAAAUCAAUAAAUAUGUAUGAUUUAUUUGAUGAUUUUCUGAAAAAAAAAAUUAGAUGCAAAAAUCUAGAAAACUGACCUUGUCUGUCGGUUUGUUCUUGAAUUUGAAGAACAAGCCAUUAGACAUGAUCAACUUUCUUGAUUUUUUUAUAUUUUUUAAUUUACUAAGAAUUAUUUUACAAUAUUAAAUUAAAUAAUAAAAUCGAGGUUGUUUGUAGAUUUUAUUUUUUCAUGUUGGAAGUAAAUUAAAAAUUUGAUUUAGUGGAGUUAAGAAAUUGAUAGAUGUCUGUAACGACCUAAAAAUUUGAUGAAAUAUGUGAAAUUUAUAAUUUUGUAUGAUUUGACUGUUUUACUCCUUCCCGUAGUUGCGUUAUGGUAUUUCUGGGGUGUGGGAGUGAUUGGCAUAAUCUUUUAUGCAUUUUGAUACCAUUUAUGCUAUAUUGUGGUUUUUUAUGGCUUCGAGAGCCUUAUUUUAGACUUAUGAAAAUAUCUUUUGAUCCAUGCAAUAGAUGGCCGAACGGACUGCACCAAAAGUUUCGGAAUAUCAAUUUUAGACUAGGUAGAACUUUGAUUCGGAUCCCGGUGUAAUGACCCUGCAAAUUUAUUUUACAAAUUUGUCCUGUUUUAAAUUUUAACCCACCUUAUAAUUAUGUUUUUGGACAUUAUUCUGGCUAAAUUGAUAUGUUUAAUUAACCCUUGGGGCCUAUAUAUAAGAAUAAAAUUAUGUAGGAAGGGUUUAUUUUACUUAAAAAUCGUCAGAAUCAGAAAGUUAGUAGAAAGGCACAAAGUUGCGGUUUCUAUUCCUCAAAGUCUCAUUGUAACUUGAAAGGAAAAUUUCAACGGUUUCAGGUGAGGCUUCGUCCAGCGAUUUAAAUUCUUUAUUACCGUGGUAUCGAUUCUUUAAGAUUGUUGGUUGUUUGACCCAUUUAGACGGCUAGGACUAGAAUUUAAAUUAAUUGUUGCCUAAUGAAUGAAUCAAACAUUGGCUUAAUGCUUAAUGAUGACAAAGAGUAUAAUCAAUGGGCACUAAAUUAGGUGGAAGUGACGAUGGCAGCCAUUGUUUUGUUCAAAUUUUCUUCAACUUUUAACUGAAGCUUUAACUAUAAUUAUAUUUUAAUGAUUAAGGCAUAAGUGGGUGAUGAUUAGAAAGUUUGGAAUGGAAGUUGGGCAAAAAUUAUUAUUUUAAGGUAGUACGGCUCAUAGUAUAUAAUGGUUACAGGAAAUAAUUUGAUCAUUUGGACAAUGAUAUUAGAAUAUUGUUAACGGUUAAGCAGAUGGCAUAAUGGGUGAUGCACUAUUGAGGAAUUACGGUGCUAUGAAUUACUGUUUAGUGCAUCACUUUAGACUUCAAAAUUUAAUAAAGAAUUGAGAUUUAGGUUUAUGAUCUUUAGAGUAACCAUUUAUUAAGUUGGGAAUAUUGUAUUUGAUUAGAUUGGACUUACCCGGAGGUGAUUGUGACGAGCAUCUAUGCGAGUACCGGUGUUGUUUGAGGAGAUAAAAUAAGUUAAUUGUAUGUUUGAAUUGUUUUCCCCUAUUUGCUAGCCCGAUGGACUGAUUGGUUAUGGUAAAUAAAUUAUUGAAAAUGUUAGCUAAUAAUGAUACUUUCACUUGAUAAGUUGACUUGACUUGGAAAUUGAAGUCUGAUCUGGUUUAAGACACGAAGUGCUUUGCUUGAAUUUAUUGAUGAUUUGGGGUCGGAGUUGCACGCCUGCACAUCAUGCAUUGCAUUUCAUAUGGAAUCGGAGUGCACGCCUGCGCAAUAUUAUAUAUAUAUAUUGGGAUUGAAGUGCACGCCUGCACAGUAUAUUUAUUAGGAUCGGAGUGCACGCCUGCACAGUAUAUUUAUUGGGAGCGGAGUGCAUGCCUGCACAGAAUAUUUAUUGGGAUCGGAGUGCAUGUCUGCACAAUAUAUUUAUUGGGAACGGAGUGCACGCCUACACAAUAUACAUAUUGAGAUCGGAGUGCACGCCUGCACAAUAUAAAUACUAAGAUCGGAGUGCACGCCUGCACAGUAUAUACAUUUGCAUUGCAUUACAUCGCAGUGCAUUGAUUCAUUUGGUUCAGAUUGGUGAAAGUGUAUUUGUGGACGUGGUACUUAUUGUAUCUGUAUUAUUUAUUUCGCUGGAUUGAGAAAUUCUUGGAUUGUGUUAUGAUAUCUUUAUGACUGUUAAACUUGACUAUUCAGUUAAAUUAAGGUGAUUUUUCGAGUGCAGGAUAUAUGUUUAUUUUAGAUGAUUUACGUGGCUUCACUCGGCACCACUUUGAAUUAGGGUCGAUCAACGAUGCUUGCUGAGUACACAUGGUUCUGUACUCACUCUUGUUUUUUCUGCACCCCACAUGCAGGUACAGAUUCGACGACCUCCGGAUAUUGAUCCCUGUGAUUCCUUAUUUGCUAGCAUCAUUGAAGAUUCAAGGUAGCUGCUACUGGAUUUAGAGACUACUGAAAUCUCCUUCAGCUUUAUCCUUAUGUUUUUUUCGCAUUUUGAAAGACUCAAACUUUCUAAUGGUUUUGUAUUUAGUGGCUUGU
rnacentral:lncRNA from 1 species